rnacentral:lncRNA from 1 species
GUACCCGCGCUUUUUGCCCCCCAGCCCUAGCCCUAUAAGAAGGGUAAGUACUCCACACUCGGCGCGCCAGUCAUCCGAUAGACUGAGUCGCCCGGGUACCCGUGUUCCCAAUAAAGCCUUUUGCUGUUGCAUCCGAAUCGUGGCCUCGCUGAUCCUUGGGAGGGUCUCCUCAGAGUGAUUGACUACCCAGCUUGGGGGUCUUUCACAAGCAGUGCCUGGCUGCUGGGAGCUGUUGCUGUAGGGAAUGAAAGGUGAUGAAGUCUCGAUCACUAGACGGGAGAUGCUGCCAAGUGCCCCAGACGGGAUCAAGACUCCAAUGACAACCAUAAGAUUCCCUAAAGCUAAGACACUGCAGAUCUUGACUCUGCUGAUUUCUAUAGGUGUGGUCCAAACUAGUCCUAUGCCCCAUGAACCCCAUAACCUUACUUGGGUUAUAACUAACACUGCUACGGGGACUGUAAUUAACUCGACCUCCCACCUCGCCCCCAUUGGAACUUGGUUUCCUGAUCUUGUUUUUGAUUUGUGUGCACUAGCGGAUGGGACCUGGGAUCCCCUGGGCCUUGUAUGGGGGUGUCAACAUCCAGCUCAACACAGUGAACUUCGGAGAACCCCCUUCUAUGUCUGCCCUGGAGAGGGGAGGUCUCCACAGCAGACGGCUACCUGUGGAGGACCAGAGUCAUACUUCUGUGCAUAUUGGGGUUGUGAGUCGACUGGGUCCAUCUCCUGGACGCCACCGAUAAAAGAUGACCUCAUCAAGGUCCAAAGGAGCCCUGGAUCGGAAUCCCAAGGAUGGGGGUAUGGAUUGCAGCCCAAGCUGGAUGCAAAUGAUCUUGGUGGGCCAUGUUCCUCCAACUGUAACCCCAUUACAGUUCAGUUCACCCCCAAGGGAAAAGAAAGCGUAGGAUGGGAAAAGGGAAAGACAUGGGGACUAAGACUGUAUGUGUCUGGAUAUGACUAUGGAGUAAUGUUUACGAUCCAACUCUCUGCCCGACAGGGCAUGCCUUUAGGCCCCAAUCCAGCCCUGCCCCCUGUUGGACUCACGGUGACUCAAUCACAAAUCACAGUCCCCAUUUCUCAGGAACUUAGACCCAGGUCUGGGCCAUGGGACUUGCUUAAGGCCACUUACCUGGUAUUGAAUAAUUCUAAACCAGAGCUUACAAGUAAAUGUUGGCUCUGCUUGGAUGCCCAGCCACCCUAUUAUGAAGGAAUAGCCGUUCCUGGAAAUUAUACCACCUCUACUGACAACAAGGACUGUCGUUGGCAGUAUCCAGGUAAAGGGAGACUAACCUUAGAGCUAAUUCAGGGAAAAGGACUCUGCUUUGGGACAAUACCCCACACCCAUAGACAUUUAUGUAAUAGCAUCCAGGAAGCCCCAGACAGGGAUGCUUACAUUAUACCCCCCAUCAAUACAUGGUGGGCAUGCACUACUGGGCUGACAUCUUGCAUCCACACCCAGGCUCUUAACCUCACAAAUGGAUUUUGUGUACUGGUCCAGCUUGCCCCUAGAAUUCUUCGUUACUCUGAUGAGAUGGGGACCAGACUAUCUCCAUUCCCAGCUGCUCGAGCGAAGCGGGCUACUGUUGCCGAGAUCCUGGGUGCAUCAGCCUUCGACUUCCAAGAUGAGAAUUAUAAAGUGUUAAGCUCUGCCAUAGAUGCAGAUUUAAUGGAACUAGGGAAAUCCUUAUCCAAGUCCAAAACCUCAUUAACUUCUCUAAGGGAGGCCACCCUUCGAAAUCAGCGGGAACAAGACUUCCAAUCUCUGCAACAGGAUGGACUGUGUAAACCUCUGGAGAAAAGGUGCUGCACCUUUGUGGAUAACUUAAAGCAUGCGAGGGAGUUAUUGGCUAAGGUGAGGAAACGUCUAGAAGACAGGAAAAGGGAAAUGGAACAGGGUCAGCCUGUUUGGAUUACAGUUAUUGCAACUCUGUCUGGAUUCUUGGGCCUGGUCAUACUCAUUGUGAUAUGCAAGCUCUAUGUUGUUAACCCCCUGAUGGAUUCAUCAAGGACCAGGUCUCCACCAUCCGACACGUAUUAAAAUGCUAACCCUUGGAUUCUGCUCAAGGGUUUGAGAUGGACUCUUAAGGUGAGAGAGAGUGAUCCUAACUUACUCCAUUUUAAGACAGGCUGCUAGGUCAGGCCUUAAGUUUAGUCUCAGAAAAGCCAUAAAGAAUGGGCAGCCAAGCCAGGCGUGGUGGCACACACUUUUAAUCCCAGCACUUGGGAGGCAGAGGCAGACGGAUUUCUGAGUUCGAGGCCAGCCUGGUCUACAGUGAGUUCCAGGACAGCCAAGGCUACACAGAGAAACCCUGUCUCGGAAAAAAAAAAGAAUGGGCUGCCAAUCCACAGCCACCCUGACAACGGGGGGUGGGGGUGGGGUAGCUAAAGCCAAUUUGAAGAAAGCCCCUAUGAAAGGGCGCUUUUUCCUUCAAGGUACAGACCAGUCCAAAAUGUACAGACACCCCUCACUAUGAACACAAACAAUCCUGGUGUAAAUUACCUAACUACAGUUGGAAAUCUAACUGGCUUUAAAAGGAAAAGAGAGCCUGCCGUCUCUUUGUGGUUGCCAUUUUAUAUAGAUGAUAUAUAUUGAGCUUUGGUCUGUUAUGCUUUGGAAUGCUUAGUGCAAGCCCUGGUUGCCCCAGAGACCCAAGUGAUGUUAUGUGACCUUGACCCUAAGUUACUUCUGGUUGGUGAAUAAAGAUGCCUGCAGUCGAUAGCUGGGCAGGAGAGACCAGGGUGGGGUUUAGGGUUCCUGAGCUUGGGGUUGUAAGAGAAGCACCAGGAGGGCGAGAAGGUGAAGGGAGGAGGAAGCGGGCGUGGAUUGGGUGAGUUGUGGAAUGAUGGCUAUGUGGGUUGGCUAAUUGGAGUUAAGAGCAGCCCAGAUGGAAACAUGAGGAAUUAGAUGAUGGCUUACUGGCUGGGGAGUAGGCAUACUAGUGUAGAGGAUAGAUAUCUGCCCAGCUCUUGUGCUGAUUAAGGCUUGUUAUAAAUAAAAAGGUUGUCUGUUUCUUUUAUCAGGGAAGUAAAUGGUCCAAGGUAGAAA